GGCUAUCUUCAUCGACUGAGGCCAAAGUACUCUGGCUACUGUGCACACUGGAACACAUUUAAAGAUUUCUUUCUUGUGAUGGCUAUUCCUUCCCAGUGGCCCUUCUCUGGCAAAGAGGAAAGCUUCUUACACACAGACAGAAGUUACCAGCAGGGAGGUGCCAUCGCUCAGAGCACAAGCUUUGUACGCCGGACAGUUCCAGUUUCAGUGCCUGGCAUCUCCAAGAGGAAGGACCUCAAGUGGCUGACCUGGCCUGCCUAGAUCUAAGACUAGCUUUGGGGGCCUUGAUCAACCCCAGACAGCCUACUCAACGGCAAAGGAUGGUGGGAGCUGUCAUCCAACAACAUCUGGGGACCCAAGGUUGAAGAACAGCACUCUUUUGGUACAGAUCCAUCAGGCCCUCUCUUCCCCACCCCUCUUAUUAAUACUUUUAUUUGUUUUUAAAUGCAAACAGAUAAAUGAAGAAACAGGAGCACAGUGGAGGGCAAAAGUGGCGAGAUGAGAGAGAGGGCAUCGGGUUCUCUUUGACUGGAAACAUAUAUUUUUCAAGAGGCUUUUCUUGUUAGAUUUUACCGCUGCCUUGGAAUUGAACUAUAUUCUAGAUUGCUGAUUUUAGUUUGCAACUGUCCUUUUCAUUGUGUCUUUUGCUAUUGAUGUAUGUUUUGCACUUACUGUAUUUUUAUGCUGCGGAGUCCCUCUGAGUGCUCUAUGAGAUGAAGAAUGAGAUAAAAAAUAAUAAAUUGGUUGCUUAGCUGAAGAACAGGUUUGGCUAGGUACACCUCCAGAAUUGGUGUUAAAACAGGUACAAAAAAAUGAGUGGUUUUGCAUAGAGAACGGCAAAGCAAGAACUGCAGUCUUCAACAGAAAUAGCCCAGCAGAUUUGUUACAUGCCCUGCCUCUACAUGGUUGAGAAAUAUGCCUGCUGCAUUUUUAGUAUUGGUAUAACCUUGUUUAUUUUAACAGCCCCAAAAUUAAUCAGUCAGAAAUAUAGUUUCCUCAUCAAA